rnacentral:rRNA from 1 species
ACUGCCUGUGGGGGGGGGAUUACUACUGGGAACGGUAACUAAUACCACAUACUGUCGCAAAACCAAAGAGGGGGACCUUCCGGCCUCUUGCCAUCGAAUGUGCCCAGAUGGGAUUAGCUAGUAGGUGGGGUAACGGCUCACGUAACCAACCAUCCCUGGCUGGUCUGAAAGGAUGACCACCCACACUGGAACUGACACACGGUCCACACUCCUACGGGAGGCAUGGGUGGGGAAUAUUGCACAAUGGGCGCAAGCCUGAUGCAUCCAUGCCGCGUGUAUAAAGAAGGCCUUCUGGUUGUAAAUUACUUUCAGCGGGAAGGAAGGUGUUGUGGUUAAUAACCGUUUUAUUUUACCUUACCCACUAAAGAAGCACCG